GACGAACGCUGGCGGCGUGCCUAAUACAUGCAGGUUGAGCGGACCGAAGGGAGCUUGCUCCUUUAGGUUAGCGGCGGACGGGUGAGUAACACGUGGGCAACCUGCCCUGCAGACUGGGAUAACUUCGGGAAACCGGAGCUAAUACCGGAUAAACACCGAAAACCGCAUGGUUUUCGGUUGAAAGGCGGCUUUUAGCUGUCACUGCAGGAUGGGGCCCGCGGCGCAUUAGCUAGUUGGUAAGGUAACGGCUUACCAAGGCAACGAUACGUAGCCGACCUGAGAGGGUGAUCGGCCACACUGGAACUGAGACACGGUCCAG
rnacentral:rRNA from 1 species